rnacentral:lncRNA from 1 species
GGCGGUUGAGUGAGACGAGACGCGCCCCUCCCACGCGGGGAAGGGCGCCCGCCUGGUCCGGCGAGCGCACGUCCGGUGCUCCCCUCUGGCGGAAAUACUAGGCUUUAGAAUUUCACCAUAUGAAUUUUGGGAGAGAGGAGCACAGUUCAGCCCAUAACUAACACACGACGGAAUGAAGUUGAUAAUAGUGAGACCUUGUUGGUACAAGACUAUGUAACAUAACCUGCGCUUCUCAACAAAGAAUUGCUUUUCUGACUUCUGCACUCAAUAGCAAGACAAAUCUCUCCUCUGCCUUCUCCUUAUCAGACUACUCAACAUGAAGGCAAUAAGAAUGAAGACCUCUAUGUAUAAUAAUUGACUUCCACUUAAUAAAUACCUGAACAGAUGUUGAGUACAAGCUGAUCCACCUACGUUCAACCUGAGAGAGUCCACAUCCACAGACUGUUUCAUUUCCCUUUUUCAAUUUACAUAGAAGCAUAGAUUCUUGCUGGCAUAUACAAAUGCGCCAUUUAAGGCAAUCAAAAAUGGUUCCACAUCUCAUCUGAUUUCCACAAUUGUUGCUGUAACGAUGGACUACUGAGGAGAGAGACAAUUUCUCUGGCACAUCUUCCCACAUUUUAGCAACAUGUUCAUGGAGAGCCAAUAUUCAGUAAUUACAGCCCAAUUCCUCACAAUUUCACAAUUCGCUAACAAUAUGCAUUUUCACAAUGUAAAGCUGAUUUUCCUUUAACCAAAUCAAACAUGAAAAGAUAGCUGCAUGCAAUGGGCAAUCUAGAUCAUUAGAAGAUUGAUGUAAAAUUAGAGGACACUGAGACUGGAAUAGAUUGCAAACUUCAGGGAGCUCAGAAAACUUGUAAACUCUACAUUUUGAGGAAAUAUGUUGUCGAUGCUUUUGCAACUCUAUGCAGUAACUUAACAAAUAAAGCCUUAAAGUAACU